rnacentral:rRNA from 1 species
AUUGAACGCUGGCGGCAGGCCUAACACAUGCAAGUCGAACGGCAGCGGGGGAUAGCUUGCUAUCCUGCCGGCGAGUGGCGGACGGGUGAGUAAUGCAUGGGGAGCUGCCCAGUCGAGGGGGAUAACAACUGGAAACGGUUGCUAAUACCGCAUACGCCCUAAGGGGGAAAGGUGGGGAACUUCGGUCCUACCGCGUUUGGAUGCGCCCAUGUGGGAUUAGCUAGUUGGUGAGGUAGCGGCUCACCAAGGCGACGAUCUCUAGCUGGUCUGAGAGGCUGACCAGCCACACUGGACCUGAGACACGGUCCAGGCUCCUCCGGGAGGCAGCAGUGGGGCAUAUUGGACAAUGGGGGGAACCCUGAUCCAGCCAUGCCGCGUGUCUGAAGAAGGCCUUAUGGUUGUAAAGCACUUUAAGCGAGGAGGAGGCUCUUUUGGUUAAUACCCAAGAUGAGUGGACGUUACUCGCAGAAUAAGCACCGGCUAACUCUGUGCCAGCAGCCGCAGUAA